ensembl:lncRNA
GGAUACGCCCCCUCCAUUACUCGACACACGCCUCGAAGCCUCGGCACGUCUCGUAACAUCGCUAAUAAACAGUUUAUCUGUAAAUCAACGUCAAAAAGAAAACCCAGCGCUAUAUGCAAAUUCUGCAACGCAACGCUCACUGAGGCGGCUGGAACCACAUCGAACUUUUACCGACACUUGGAGAGGAAGCAUAAAGAAAGACAAACACCUGAAUGAUCCCCAAGAGUUCUGGGAGAAUAUCCUCCGGAAUGAUGGACAGAACAUUUUGGAAGGUGGAAGCUGAAUUAGUGAGGAUGACUCCUGCUCCUGUCAUCUCUAAGCUCCUCACACAUCUUUACCUGCACAUGAGGAAAAUCACUCCUGUAGAAUGCAGGUAUGUUUGUCAUUAUUAUAAAAAGAUGUUGCCUGGUGACCUGUCAGAAACCCAUUAUACAGAGUCAGCCAAAAUAAUGUUUACACACAUCAGGAAAAGAAAAACUUGCAUCAAUAUUUCAAUACCAAAUUUAUUCAGACAUCACUAGAUUAAUAAAAGUUAUUUUUGACCUCUAUAAUUACAAGAGGUGCUAAAAGUGGAGGCCACUGGCUUCCAGACAUUUCUGUUGUGUUGUAGACGUCACUUGUUGAUGCUCCAGUCAUUCUACCAUUCAGUCUGAGAUAUUAAGAAUAAAUAAAUGUGCAUAAUGUGGAAAUGAACAGAUUUUAUUUUUAUUUAUUCCUACAACUGCUGGUAAAGUUCCAGAAUGUGGAGGAAUUUAGUCUCACAAUCACAGACAACAAGUAUUAUCUGAAAGUCAGGUUAUUGUUGUUCAUCAGCACAAUACAAAAAGAUUAAUGUUAGACAAAUUCCAGUUAAGACUCCAAAAUAUCAUGAUUUAUGUAAAUUUACCUCAAUAAUAUGAAUGUUCAGGUUAAGAUUGUGCAGUGAUAUUUAUUAUGUAAGUUUAGCUGAUUAAAGUUUAUGACUCUGCACUA